UACAGAGGUCCCAAGCGUUGUUCGGAUUCACUGGGCGUAAAGGGUGCGUAGGCGGCGCGGCAAGUCGGGUGUGAAAUCUCGGAGCUUAACUCCGAAACUGCAUUCGAUACUGCCGUGCUUGAGGACUGUAGAGGAGACUGGAAUUUACGGUGUAGCGGUGAAAUGCGUAGAUAUCGUAAGGAAGACCAGUGGCGAAGGCGGGUCUCUGGACAGUUCCUGACGCUGAGGCACGAAGGUCAGGGGAGCAAACGGG
rnacentral:rRNA from 1 species